UUCGUGCUCUGGGUGGCGCAGCUAACGCGUGAAGUUCUCCGCCUGGGGAGUACGGCCGCAAGGUUAAAACUCAAAGGAAUUGACGGGGACCCGCACAAGCGGUGGAUGAUGUGGAUUAAUUCGAUGCAACGCGAAGAACCUUACCUACCCUUGACAUGCCGGGAAUCCUGCCCAGAGGCGGGAGUGCCUUCGGGAACCCGGACACAGGUGCUGCAUGGCUGUCGUCAGCUCGUGUCGUGAGAUGUAGGGUUAAGUCCCGCAACGAGCGCAACCCUAAUC
rnacentral:rRNA from 1 species